CAGUGGCAAGCUGCUCGGAUCCCAGCCCACGGUGUGGAAGCUUUGUUCUUUCGCUCUUUGCAAUAAAUCCUGCUGCUGCUCACUCUUUGGGUCAACACUACCUUUCUGAGCUGUGACGCUCACUGCGAAGGUCUGCAGCUUCACCCCUGAAGCCAGCAAGACCACGAACCCACCGGGAGGAACUAACAACUCCAGACGCGCCGCCUUAAGAGCUGUAACACUCACCGCGAAGGUCCGCAGCUUUACUCCUGAGCCAGCGAGACCACGAACCCACCAGAAGGAAGAAACUCAGAACACAUGCGAACAUCAGAAGGAACAAACUCCAGAGGCGCCACCUUAAGAGCUAUAACACUCACCGCGAGGGUCCGCGGCUUCGUUUUUGAAGUGAGACCAAGAACCCACCAAUUCCGGACAUGCGUGGACUCACUGAGAAGCAGCAAGUUGGCGUUGACUUAGCCCGCUCAGUGUGCAGAGUGGGUUGAAGAAAAGAAUAGACCACAUCAGAGGAGUAAAGGGGUGGGGGCAAAAGCCAGAGAAGGUGGGACCUUGGAAUCACUGGAAUGACUUUGCUUCCACUGUGAGUAGACGGCAGAGCCAUUGCAAGUUUGGAGCAGAGGAGUGUUGAAUGACUUUAAUAGCUGCUCUGUUGGGCAUAGAUUCAGGGAGGACGGGGCAGGGUAAAACCAGGGAGAUAGUAACAAGGCCAUUGCAAUCAUGUAGAUGCUAGAUGGUGGCGGAUUGUAACCUCACCUCACACUGAUUCCAUGAUGAACCAUGGUUAACUCAGGGAGGGGCGCUAAUGAAGUCAAGGCCAGGGAUUCUCGUGAAUAACCUUUGGGUAGGUGAUCUGGAAGCGAACCUGAGCUUCCAGACCUUUGGAGGGCCUUAGCUGUACUACAUUUCAGUACUCCUAAAGCAAGUUUUUCAGAAGAUUGCUCAGGCUAAAACACCAAACUUCUUUGCAGUGAGCUGGGCUAGCAUCAACUUGAGGCUGAAACCUCGGCUUUCUGUACUGAUCAGAAGGUUGAGGUUGAUAGCAAUACCUGUCUGCAAGUCAUUGCAGUAACAAAUACUUAACAAAUGGGGUUUGUUUUGUAGACCUAAUCUUUGAAGACAUAAGGCCCACUGUGAGGGGAGCAGUUACUACAUUCAGCCCUUGGUAGUAAAAUCAUAAGAACCAUCGAUGUAGAUGAUGGCAAUAGAUCACAUUUCCACUCCCACCCACGCAUCUCUGUUCAUGAUUCCCUGCAGGGCCAGGUGGAGAUGUGUGCCUGGGUCGGUAUAAACCUCUCUCUGUGUUUCAAGAACACACCUUUGGGAAGGUGACAGUGUGGUGGUGGGACAGCAAACUGCCAGUCUAGAAAGCUACUCCAGGCCUCAGUUUCUCAUCUGUGGAAUUAAGACAUUGGCCUGUAGAUCCAUGGGAUCCAUCAGGGAUCACCCCAGCUCUAAGCAUCUAUGAUACCGUGGGAAUGGAGAUGAAGAUAUUUCAUUUAACAUCUGGUCAAGAGUCCAAGUAAACAGGUGAGCAACUCUCUUGCAUACCUAGAGAGUGUGAGCAUGAGUAAAUCCUUUCACUCUUGGAAUGAGAAGGAAAUAGUAAACCCACUUUCUAGGCUAAUCAUGUGAUAUUUUACCAAACUCUGAGUUUAGAAAGAUGUUAUAUAAUCUGGCUUUUAUUGCAUGUAUUUAGAUCGAUUUUAUCAAGCCAUGUUCCCUGAUACAUAUUAGGAUUGCACCUCAAAGUCUUGGGUAGCCUUAGGUCAUAUUUCAGCUGUGGUUCUUUUGUUUAGAGCAAGAAGUAUGUGGAAGUAUUUUGUUUUGUUUUUAUCAAUCUUGGUAGCUCACGUGAUGUCCUUCAAGAGCCAGCCAUACUCUGGGGCUUAUCGUCUUGGCAGAAAAAGCAACUGUCCAGAGGUCAAACAAGGGCCUGUUUCCUCCCCUGCGAGCCAGCUGAGACCUUCCAUUCCCAGACUGAGUUUCAGUCCUUUAGUUUAGCCUUAAGGCUUUGUUCCCUAAUAAAAUGCAACACACUGGAAAGACUGCCACUAAGUUACUCUCAGAUUUACUUUACAAGGAUGAGUUGAGAUCAACUUUUGAUGAGCAGAGGAGGGCCAAAUAGACCAUGUGUCCUUGGGAGGGAAGAGCUGUGUCCCUGGGAUGGGGAGCAUUUUGGAACCAGAGGUUGGAAGCACCAAAGCCGAACAGUUCCUUCUCACCAGUGCUUCCCAGGCAGAGCCUCACAAAACAGCACAAUUGUGGCAAUUCCCCUGUGAGGCUUCUUUAAGAACCCUAUUUUCCCUGGUUUAAGUAAACUCAAAUAUUUCAUUUGUAUUUCUGUAAGCACACAUUUUCAACUCUUGCUGCCUUCUUGGCUGUUGAAUGACUGUCAUCACCAUGUGUAGAAUCAUGGAUCUAAGAAUCCUCAGUGUCACUUAGUCCAACUUUCUUCCCCAAAUAGUCUCUUCUAGGAUAUCUUCCCCAUUGAUGGCCACUAUGUAGGUGCUUGAACCUUUGCAGUAACAAGGACUUCAUUGCUUCAUAAGGCACUGUGUUACAUGAUGGACUAUUGUAUUUUUAGGAAGUUCUUUUUAUUGAAUCAAACUUUAUCUCUCUAAACAUCAAUUGAUCAUUUCUAGUCUCCCAGAAUUACUUUGGUUAAUGGAUCUCAAAGUCUAAAUUCAAACAUUGUCACCUAAGCAUUGAGGUCCUCCCCUUUUUUGUUCCUCUCACUAGUCUAGUUUUAUGAACAAUCCUAUGAAACCUCGAUGACCACACAUCUGACAAGCCCAUUACUGUUUCAAAAGGAAAGGAAGGUAGGGAUCUACAAGCUAAUGUCUCCAAAGCAGAUCUUAGCACAAUUCUGAUUCUGCAUCCAGCACAUGACAUUCUCCCUGGAGAUAAUCCCAAUGCCUGCUUAAUAGGUUAGAGUCCCAGCGUUUAAUAUCUGACCGCAUUAAGAGUUUUUAACAUCUCACUUAAAAUUAAUCCAUAACAGAUAUUUUUGACAUAAAACUCAAAAGGAAAUAGCUUCCUACCCAAAUUAACUACAAAAUCGGGAAAAACUUUAAAAGUUUCUGUAUUAGACUGUACACAAGCCUGCCUACUGUAUUUAACUGGACUCUUCAUGACAUCUAGUGGCGAAAUCUGGAAAAGUUUCCAGUACUCUAAACGUGGCAGAAGGUGGGAAAACAAUUUUUAAUCCUAUUUGAUAUUCACUGUUUGAAUAUUAUGUUUUGUGAAAUCGUAAACUGAAUUCAUCUGUCAAUCCAUUAUAAUAGUAUACUCAUUUUUAUUUUAGGCAUAUCUGUGGCUUUAUACCUUUUAAAUUUGGGCUGACUUUGAAAUCAAUCACAUCUAUUUUUUCACGGAUGUCAGAAAGAACCACAUUGGUUUAGGGGGAGAAAAACAUUCUGGAUAAGCAUAAAUAACAACAUUUUUAGCUGGAAACACACCACAAAAAUGUUUUGCAUAACUGUAUUCAUCUUCAAAUGUAGUUUUAAGACUCAAUUCCUGUGAAAUCUGAGUCAUUUAUAGCUAACCUUGAAUGUAUUGUUAUUCACAAUUAGAAGUAGAUAAAUUUCACAGGCAGAGAAGCUGACAAGUCUUUAAGACUUCACACUUAGUUUUGCAGGAAGAGCUGAAGUUAAUUAGAAGUGAUUAUACAUACAUUGCAUGUGUGUGUGUAUUUGUGUUGUUGCACACAGACACCACGAAGGCCUUGGGAAGGUUGCAUUUUUUAUGUUUUAAAAAUAAACAUAAUCUCCUUCCCAUGUGUUGCUAUAAGCCCAGUAAAUCUAGGAAGCUCAGCAGGGUUGAACAAGGUCAUUUCUCGUCAGGACUCCAAGGGGGAGCAGGAAGCAACCCUGUGCAUCAGAUGCUGGCAUCCUAAUCCCUGCUCAGCAAGAGCUUCCCAGGCAUGUGGGACAGGUCGUGCCAGCGCCGACACACUGGCAGACCGAGGCUCUGACGCCAGCCACGCUCCGUAUCAGCACUGCGGCUCCCUACCUACCGUGCCCCUGGAAGACGAAAAUAUAUCCUCACUCUCACAGUAAAGGCAGGAUUCCAACCGAGUCUGCUCACUUCUUGGUUCUGGUAAACAGGAAAGUAGUCAUGAAAAGAUACAUCUAAUCACUAUCUCAGAAUCAGGGAGGCUUUAUUGAUUUGGUUUUUUGUCGAAUUUAAAUAUAUGUUAAAUAAAUAUAUAAAGAUAUGUAAAUUAUUUUGUUGAAUUUAAGAUAUAUAUUUAAAACAAAUGGAUAAUUAAUGCAUAUUUAAAUUCAACAAAACCCAAAACAAAUGAAGAAAAAAAUAUAGAUAUAUAUCUCCAUAGAUCUUCUGCUACAGAGAAGAAACAGAACAUAUACCAAAAGACAUUAUAAACAUGUAGGUAAAAACAACUCCAAAAUAAUAUAUAAGAAACAGAGAGUGGUGUUUCCCUGUGAGAAAGAUCUGGAGACUAGAAGUGAGGGUAGAGAUAUGGAGAUGAGGAAAUCAUUUUUCUCUGUAUACUUAUACUCUUUGAAAACUAGCUGUAUUACCUAGUAAGAAAUAUAUUUCAGCCGGGCGCAGUGGCUCAUGCCUGUAAUCCCAGAACUUUGGGAGGCUGAGACAGGUAGAUCACUUGAAGUCAGGAGUUUGAGACCAGCCUGGCCAACAUGGCAAAAUCCUGUCUUUACUAAAAUUACAAAAAAAUUAGCCAGCUAUGGUGGUGUGCACCUGUCAUCCCAGCUAUCGGGAGGCUGAAGCAGGAGAAUUGCUUGAACCCAGGAGGAGGAGGUUCUGGGUAGCCAAGAUUGCACCACUGCACUCCAGCCUGGGUGAGAGUGAGACUCUGUCUCAAAAAAAAAAAAAAAAGGUAUUUCAAUUUUGAAAUACCAUAAAUAAUUUGGCCCAAAAUUUGUCCUCACCUUGGUGUGAGGUGAUAUAGGUCUUUGGAUAUAUGAUUUUAAAAAUUAAUAAGGUGACUUCUGUUUUCUGGUUUAGACUAUAAGGUGCUUAAAAGUCACCAUUCUGGCCAGGCAUGGUGGCUCAAACCUGUAAUCCCAGCACUUUGGGAGGCCGAGGCGGGCAGAUCACCUGAGGUCAGGAGUUCAAGACCAGACUGACCAACGUGGUGAAACCCAUCUGUACUAAAAAUACAAAAAUUAGCUGGUCAUGGUGGCACACACCUGUAAUCCCAGCUACUAGGGAGGCUGAGGCAGGAGAAUCGUUUGGAUCAAGGAGGCAGAGGUUGCAGUGAGCCGAGAUCACACCAUUGCACUCCGGCCUGGGUGACAUCUCAGAAAAAAAAAAAAAAAAAAAAAAAAGUCACCAUUCCAUCCAAACAACAAGUGAAAAACUAAAUAUACUGAAAAAUCAACAACUCUUCUUAGAUCCAUCAGCUCCUCACAGAGAUCUAUCAGUGAGGUCACAGGGGAGGCCACCGCCCCAAAAAUUGGAGAGAGAGGCAGAUACAGGGAAUCACAAUGUACCAGAGCAGAAGCCUGCACAGAAACCAGCACCAGGUACCUCGUGUCCACCAUACAAUAAAAAAUUACAAAACAUACUAAAAGAUAAACAACAUAACCUGACGUGACUAAAAGAACAUCAGAACCAGAGCCAGAUUUGGAAGGAAGGUUGGCAUUAUCAGAGCACGAAUUUUGUACAACUGUGAUUUAUAUGCAAAGGGUUUUAAUUGAAAAAGUAGACAACAUGCAAGAACAGGUGGAUAAUGUAAGUAGAGAGAUAAAAAUUCUAAGAAUCUAAAGAAAUGCUAGAGAUAAAAAGCACAGAAAUGAAGAAUGCCUUUGAUGGGCUCGUUAGUAGACUGGCGAUGGCUAAGAAAAACAUAUCUGACCUUGAGUAUAUAAUGUUAGAAUCUUCCAAAACUGAAAAGCAAAGAGAAAAAAGACUGAAAACAACAGUGACAACAACAAGAAGAAGAACAAAAAAACAGAACAGAAUAUUCAAGAACUCUGAGACCACUGUAAAGUGUAACAUAUGUGUAAUGGGAAUUCCACAAAGGGAAGAAAGAGGAAAACAAACAGAAGCAGUAUCUGAAGCAAUAAUAACUGAGAGUUCCCCCAUAUUAAUGCCAGACACCAAACCAUAGAUCCAGGAAGCUCACAGACUUUCUCAGACAGACAAAAACUGAGGGAAUUUGUUGCCAGUAGACCUGCCUUGCAAGAAGUGUUGUUAAAAAUAAGUUCUCCAGAGAAAAAGAAAUUGAUAUAGGUCUAAAUAAAGAGCAUUGGAGAAGAAAUAAGUGAAGGUAACAUAAAAACUUUCAUUUUUCAUAUUCUUAGUUGAUCUAACAAAGUUUGUUAAAAAUAAUGCCAAUAAUAUAUGUUAUUUUACGUAUGUUUAUACAGAUGCACGCUUAUUUAUACUUAUGUGUAAGUGAAAUAAAUGGCAAAAAUGAUACAAGGCAUAGGAAGAAGAAAUUAGGAUUAUAUGCUAUGUAAGAAGCGGUAUAGUGUUUUUUGAAAAUAGACUUGAAUUAGUUGGAAAUCCAUAUUGAAAACUCUCGGGCAAACAUUGUUAAAAAAUAAAAAAAUGAUAUGCUAAGAAAGAAGAGAAAACGGAAUUACACAAAAUGCUCAAUUAAAACCACAAAAGGAAGCAAAAGUGUGGAAAACAAAAAGGGGAACAAAGAGUAAGGCAACAAACAGAAAACAGUAACAAAUAUGGUAAGCAUUAAUCCAACUAUAUUAAUAAUCACUUUAAAUAUCAAUGGUCUAAAUAUGUCAAUUAAAAGACAGAGAUUACCAGAGUGGACACAUUAUAUAAGCUGUAUCCAGUGAUUGAAGAAUACACAUUCUUUUCAAGUAUAUUUUCAAAAACCACACUUACAAACAUUUAUGGAAAUGUAUUAUAUAGGGCCAUGAAUCAAAUUCCAACAGAUUCCAACAGUUAAAUCAGGGAAAUGUUUUCUGACCUCAAUGCAAUUAAUCUAGGAAUUAAAGACAAACAUAUCUAGAAAAUAUCCAUCUGUUUGGAAAUUAAUAGAUGUGUUUCUGAAUAGCUAAUGGGACAAAGAAAAGAUUAGAAAACAUUUGGUCUUCUACACCAUAGUAAACAGGCCUUGUGUAUGGUAGUUAAACCAGUUCCCCUACAGGUAAAUAUGCCUUAAAGCAUAUAUUUAAAUGAAUGAGAUAAGUCUCCACUACAAGUAGAAAAAAAGAAUAAACUAUUAAUGCAUGCAACAACAUGGAUGGAUGGAUCUAAAAAUAAUUAGAUUGAAUAAAAGAAGUCAGAAAAAAGGAAUUCAUACUGUAUAAUUUUAUUUAUAUAAAAUUCUAAAAAAUAUUUGGAAAAUAUCCUUUGGAAAAAAUUCUAAAAAAUGCAAACUAAUCCAUAGUGACAGAAAGCUGAUCAGUACGUGUCUGAGAAGGAAGAUAAUAGGGGUUAUGAAGGGCACAGGAAAUACUGGGUGUGAGGAUGUGUUCAUGUUCCUCACUGUUGUCAUGGUUCCAGAGACGUAUACAUAGGGUAAAACAUAUCAAAUUAUAUACUAAUUUUGUAUAAUGUGUCAAUUAUAUCUAAAUUGUUAUUUAAAAGAUAAAUAAAAAGAUCAAAAACAUGAAUAAAAAUGAAAAGAAACAACAGUCCAUAGAAACAGACUCAAAAGGACUCCAAAUAAUUGAAUAUUCAGACAUAAACUUUAAAAUAGCUAUAUUUAGACUGCUUUAUCCAGCUAUGAUAAAGUAAUUUCUGGCAAACCAAUGUGCCCAAGAAAAUAACUAGAAAACUAGAUAAAAUGUGAUUGCAUCUACAUUGGAGCCUUCUUGAGGCAACCAAAACUUAAGAGGCUGAUUUCACAGAGGGAGGAAUUAUUGAAAGGUAAGUCAACCUUCUGCAGAUACAUUUUUCUCUCACUGGAUACAGCUGAAAGUCUGGACAAAGGAUACAGGCAAAAGGCCACUUCUGGGAAGCAGAGAAACCAGAGACCCUUUGGCCAUCUACCAGAUCUAGACAGACAAAAGUCAGAGACUUGAGGAUCCAAAAUCUCAGCGAGAAGAGAGAAGUAGAGAACAAAUGUUGACACAUGGCUGAUUUUUCCCUCAAGACAUUUGCCAAAUUAUGAAACUGUGUUAGAUUAGAAGUAAGAAAUUAAGAAAACUCUGAAAAAUAGAGUAUUCCUCAGUCUCACAGUGUCAAGGAGAAACAGUUGAAGUUCAGUCUUACAGGGAAGGGGCCUCAGUACCUAUUAGGUUGGCGCAAAAGUAAUUUCAGUUUUUGCCAUUACUUUUAAACCAAAAUUCCUUUUUCACCAACCUGAUACAUCAGGCUGCCUGGACUCGGCUUAGUUACUCAUCGGAUAAGGUAACCUGCCCCACUACGUCCACUUAGCAGACAGUGUAAAUCCAUUCUGUAGGAAGAUAAUAUUACCCAGACCCUUUACAAUUGUUCAUCUGCAAUGUCUGAAAUGCAACAGAUAUUAAAUAUUAAUAAAAUAUAUUAGGCAUACCAAGAGAUAGAACCAAAUGACCAAAAUCCAAGAGAAAAAAAAAUAGAAAGUAGAAACAACCCCAAAAGUGAUUCAGAUAUUAGAGUUAGCAGAAAAGGACUUUAAAAUAAGUACAAUUGCUAUGUGGAAAUGGACAUGGGAAAUUUUUUUAAUUAUAUAAAAAGAUGGAGAAUAUCAUCAGAGAAUUGGAAUCUAUUGAAAAGAAUCCAAUAAAAAUUCUAGCAAUGAAAAGUAUAAAUGCUGAAAUUAAGAACUUGAUAGAUAAAUUUAACAGAAGAUUAGAACACCAGAAGACAGGAUAAGAGAACUGAAAGAUGUAGAAAAUCUACAUUAGAAAAUAUGUAGACUGCAAUGCAAAAAAGUAAAAGGAUAGAACACACAGAAGAAAUGGUAAGAUACAGUAAAAAGGACUGGUAAGCAUUUAAUUGGAAUUAAGAAGGAAAGAAGAGAGAAAAUGGAACGGAAAAUGGGCAAAUAAUUUUUCACACUGUUAAAAGACUUUAAGUAAAAAUUAUAAUUCUAUAUUGUGGAUUUUAUAACAUUUAAAUUAUAUGUGACACUAUUAGCACAAUUGAUGAAGGCUAAGUAGAACCAUAAAGUUACGAGUUUCCUAUAUUUUAUGCAAAGUAGCAUAAUAUGUUAAAUCUAAGUGAUACAUUAAAGAUACAUGAUGCAGUCCCUAGAGCAAUCAUAAAAAAGAAAUUUAAAGGGAAUUAGGAUAAAUUCUGAUUAACACAUAAGGACACAGGUGAAAAAGAACAGAAAAACUAAACACAUAUGAGACAACUAGAAAACAAAUAGCAAAAUGGUUGCCCUAAAUAAAUCAUAUCAAUAAGUACUCUAAAUGUAAAUAGAAUAAUUCCAAUUUAAAAAGCAGAGAUUUUUCACACUGGAUUAACAAAGAAAGACCCAUCUAAUUGCUUUCCACAAGAGACAUAUUUUAAAUACAAAGACACAGAUAUAUGGAAAGUAAAAAAAUGGGAAAAGCAAUGCCAUGAAAACAAUCAGAAUAAAGAUAGAAGGACUAUACUCCUAACUUCAGACAAAAUAAACUUCAAGACAAAGAGUAUUACCAGAGAUAUAGAGAGACAUUUAUGAUUAAAGAAUCAAUCCAUCAGAAACACAUAAGGUAUAUGUGCUUAAGUCAAAUGUACAAUCAUAGUUGGAGUUAUUACACUGCUCUCUCAAAAUUUAACAGAAUAGGCUGGGCCAGUGGCUCACACCUGUAAUCCCAGCACUUUGGGAGUCCAGGGCAGCUGAUAGUUUGAGCUCAGGAGUUCAAGACUAGCCUGGGCAACACGGCAAGACUCCAUCUCUACAAAAAAAUUAAAAAUUAGCCAGGUGUGGUGGUAUGCACCUGUACUCCCAGCUAUUUGCUGGGGCUGAGGCAGGAGGAUCACUUGAGCCUGAGGGGUUGAGGCUACAGUGAGCCGGGAUCACAUCACUGCACUCCAGCAUGGGUGACAGAAUGAGACUCUGUCUCAGAAAAAAGGAGGUGGGGCCAGGCAUAGUGGCCCAUGCCUGUAAUCUCAGCACUUUGGGAGGCUGAGGCAGGCAGAUCACGAGGUCAGGAGUUCGAGACCAGCCUGGCCAAAAUGGUGAAACCCCAUCUCUAUUAAAAAUACAAAAAGUAGCCAGGCGUGGUGGUGUGCACCUGUAAUCCCAGCUACUCAGGAGGCUGAGGCAAGAGAAUUGCUUCAAUCCAGGAGGCGGAGAUUGCAGUGAGCCAAGAUCACGCCAUUGCACUCCAGCCUGGGUGACAGAGCAAGACUUCAUCUCAAAAAAAAAAAAAAGAAAAAAGAAAAAGAAAAAAGGAGGUGGGGGGAUUUAAUAGAAUAACAAAUAUUGAAGUAAGGAUGUAAACCACCUAAGCAACAUCAUCAACCAUCUUGAUCUCAUUGAUAAAUUAUAAAGUACUCAACAACUGCAGAAUAUACAUUCUUUUGAAGUGCACAUAGAACAUUCAUCAAGAUAAACUGUUAUGCUGGGACAUAAAAUGAGUCUCAAAAAUUUCUAAAAGAUCAAAACAUUAGAGUAUGUUCUCUUACAGAUAUGGAAUUAAACCAAAAAUCAACAAAAAAGAUAUCUAGAAAAUCCCCAAGUAUUUGGAAAUUAAACAAUAGAUUUCAAAAUUACCCAGAAUCAAAGAAUAAAUUAUAAGAGAAACUAGAAAAUAUUUUCAUUUAAGUGAUGAUUUAAAAAUAUCCAAAAUUUUUGUAUGCAACUGAAGCUUAGCUCAGUAGCAAGCAAAGCUCAGUAGGAGGUUUAUAAUUUUAAAUGCUUAUAUUAGAAAAGAAGAAAGAUUACUAUUUAUGAUCAAAGUUUUUACAUUAAUAAGAUAGAAAAAGAAAAGCAAAUUUAAGUAGAAACAAGAUAAUAAAAAGAAGUGUGUAUGUAAAUCAGUAAAAUUUUAAAAUGACAAAACGAUUGAGAAAAUUAAUAAAAUUGAUAACUCCAUUU
rnacentral:lncRNA from 10 species